CUGCCGUGAUCGUGGUCUG
rnacentral:siRNA from 1 species